UAUCCUACGGGGGGCAGCAGUGAGGAAUAUUGGUCAAUGGGCGGGAGCCUGAACCAGCCAAGUCGCGUGAGGGAAGACGGUCCUAUGGAUUGUAAACCUCUUUAGGCGGGGAGCAAUGCCGGGCACGCGUGCCCGGAGGGAGAGUACCCGCAGAAUAAGCAUCGGCUAACUCCGUGCCAGCAGCCGCGGUAAUACGGAGGAUGCGAGCGUUAUCCGGAUUUAUUGGGUUUAAAGGGUGCGUAGGCGGUUUAAUAAGUUAGAGGUGAAAUGUCCGAGCUUAACUCGGGAACUGCCUCUA
rnacentral:rRNA from 1 species